UAUUUUUCUUUAUUCUAUACCCUAGCAGGAUAAGGUCUGUCCACCCGGAUUCUUUGCUCUAAUAUCAAUUUGAAAGAGGUAACCUUUUUCCCUUCACUGUAUCUGUUCAAGUUUUGUGGAUUGUCCCAUCAACAAUUUGAAUUUUCAAAUUUGAGUUCAAUUGGGAGCCUUUGAGAAGCUUGAACACUCCAAAAUAUGCCAAUAAAAAGAGGGCUUCAGCCAUUCCUUUGGGGGAACAAGCUUUAAAAACUGAAAAAAGAAGAAGGAAAAAAGUGGAAAUCAAGGAAAAAGCAGGGAAGAAGGGGAACAAGCAGGAGAACAGCAAGAAAGGGCUUAAAAAAAAGAAAAAAAUCUCUGCGAGAAAAAGAUUCCCGUGUUGAGUCCAUCGCUGGAAAACACUUGACGAGAAGCUCCAUUUUGCUGCCCGAAGAAAGCAUUUUAGGGUUGGCUAACUUUAAGAAUGGAGUAACAACAAAUGAAGUCAUCACGGGUCAUUACGUAGGCUCAUUUUUUUUAUAAUGAACGUCACUGUCCGUAAAUUUAACAAUGAGAAUCUCUUACAUUUAAGUGUGCAUUUGCCAGUACCAUUGAUGUAAGUAUGAGUGGUAUAAAGUGAUUUUGAGCUUUCAUGGCUGCACGGACAAUUAUCGAGAUGAUUGUGAGCCCUUUCCUAUUAAAGUUGUGUUUUAGUUGAUCUUUUGCGUUCAUGUUUGGUAUUUGUUCCCCAGCUUGUAUUCUCACGUACAUUUGUUAUUUCAUAAGUGUCUAAUCUUUAUUUUCAUUUUUUUUUCUCAUGUAAAUUUGGGAGUUGGAGUUCCGCAAUGGAACUCAAUUCGACCCACAUUAUUGGGUCAACACCUAUAGAGUCAUCAAUGUUCGGAUGCUACAUCAUUAGGAGUCAAUUCUUUCGAAAGAACUUAGCGUACCUUCUACUUUUUUUUU